AUCGGAUAAAUUUUGAGACAAAUAAAAAUUCGUUCCGGUCUACGACCCAACCCACUAAACGAAAUAGUGCCAAGUUUAAGAAGUGAAAAGCAAUCAGAAUGAUCCCAAUCCCAGCAGCACCCCACAUGGAUUUCCUUUCUGAUUUGAUUUCAUAGGCAAAUCAUUCUGCUCUGCUGGACUUGCUCAGAUGAUGGAUUGGUGCGGCUAAUAAGAAGACAGAUAUUUGAAGCCCAAUACUUUCUCAACUCCCAAAGUACAACGUUGGUAGCCAUUGGGCGGGCCUCUCAGGAGAAAGCUACUCUUGGUCUGCUCCAAUCUCUAAAGGAGGGCCCGCUCUCGCUAAGAGCACGCAGUAGCCAUGUUGAUUGGUGAAUGGGCCACUUGUUGUCUAAAUGUAUAGCUCAGAAGAUUGUAGCAGGUGACGCCUUGUUUCAUGAAUCCCAUAUAUCAUAGAUGAUAUUUGAGCUAUCUAUUUGGGAAAUGAGGGGGAAAAAAGAAUCAGAAAUAAAAUAAAAAAAAAAACACAGAGAAAUCGUGUUUACCAAUGAUUUGAUUCCCAAAAACGAAACAACUUUGACAGCAGGGUGCCAAUCCCCUUAAACCAGUCGGACAUAUCGACAUUCGUGGAAUUUGCAUGGAAAAAGCUAUAUCAAAGAAUACAAUACCGGGCGGCAUGUGCUAUGUGUUUUGGGUUUUGACAAAUAUAUAAAGCCAUGAUAUUAUUAAUUCUUGUACAAACUAAAAACUACUACUACAAUUGAUAGUAGUAUAUAAAUACACGU
rnacentral:lncRNA from 1 species